UGGAUGCCUUGGCGAUUACAGGCGAAGAAGGACGUACAAGCCUGCGAAAAGCUCUGGGGAGCUGGCAAUGAAGCUUUGAUCCAGAGAUAUCCGAAUGGGGAAACCCACUCCGCAAGGAGUAUCCCACGCUGAAUACAUAGGCGUGAGGAAGCGAACCCGGCGAACUGAAACAUCUAAGUAGCCGGAGGAAAAGAAAUCAACCGAGAUUCCCAAAGUAGUGGCGAGCGAAAAUGGGAUCAGCCUGCAAGUGAUAGCGAUUGCGUUAGCGGAAGCCUCUGGAAAGUGGUGCCGUAGUGGGUGACAGCCCCGUACGCGAAAACCCGAUCGUGGUACCAAGCUUGCGACAAGUAGGGCGGGGCACGAGAAAUCCUGUCUGAACAUGGGGGGGCCCAUCCUCCAAGGCUAAAUACUCGUAAUCGACCGAUAGUGAACCAGUACCGUGAGGGAAAGG
rnacentral:rRNA from 1 species